rnacentral:rRNA from 1 species
GAUCAUGGCUCAGGAUGAACGCUAGCUACAGGCUUAACACAUGCAAGUCGAGGGGUAGCAGGGUAGCAAUACCGCUGACGACCGGCGCACGGGUGAGUAACACGUAUCCAACCUUCCCAUAACUCAGGGAUAGCCUUUCGAAAGAAAGAUUAAUACCUGAUAGUACUUUUUCAAGGCAUCUUGAGAAAGUUAAAGAUUUAUUGGUUAUGGAUGGGGAUGCGUUCCAUUAGAUAGUUGGUGAGGUAACGGCUCACCAAGUCUUCGAUGGAUAGGGGUUCUGAGAGGAAGGUCCCCCACAUUGGUACUGAGACACGGACCAAACUCCUACGGGAGGCAGCAGUGAGGAAUAUUGGUCAAUGGGCGAGAGCCUGAACCAGCCAAGUAGCGUGAAGGAAUGAAGGUCCUAUGGAUUGUAAACUUCUUUUAUAGUAGAAUAAAGUGAUCCACGUGUGGAUUUUUGUAUGUAUACUAUGAAUAAGGAUCGGCUAACUCCGUGCCAGCCGCGGC